CCCCGAGCGGCCGUCCGAGCAGCGCCUGUACCGCACUGCUGUGGACAUAUUGGUACCUACUUCAACUUCCUCUGGAUGAAUGGCAUGAUGAUGGAGACAACGGGUGCCUCCUAUUUUGGAGAUCUCUCAGAGACAUAUGAAGACCACCACGAUGAUAUUCUCUCAGAUAGAUGGUUGGAGACCCAGGCAAAAUCCUAAUCUUGACUGUCUUGACAGUCUGAGCAUCUGGCUCCAUUCAUCGGCUCACAGAAUUCCACUACUGAACUUUCCCUCCCCCACCUCUGGAUAACUGCCAAGAUCCUGAGCCCACCUGACCUGCUAUUUUUUUUUCUCU